rnacentral:sRNA from 1 species
GGGAGGCUGCUUGGAAUUGGUAUACAGCGCGGACUUAAAAUCCGAUGGUCUACGGACAUAGGGGUUCGACUCCCCUGCCUCCCACCA